rnacentral:rRNA from 1 species
UACGAAGGGGGCUAGUGUUGCUCGGAAUCACUGGGCGUAAAGGGUGCGUAGGCGGGUCUUUAAGUCAGGGGUGAAAUCCUGGAGCUCAACUCCAGAACUGCCUUUGAUACUGAAGAUCUUGAGUUCGGGAGAGGUGAGUGGAACUGCGAGUGUAGAGGUGAAAUUCGUAGAUAUUCGCAAGAACACCAGUGGCGAAGGCGGCUCACUGGCCCGGUACUGACGCUGAGGCACGAAAGCGUGGGGAGCAAACAGG